CCUAGGGGCACGCUUUGCUUACGUGGACAUAAAGCGUGUUGACGAGGACGCGCUUUGCUGCCACGUAGGCAAAGCGCGCCCCAGGGG
rfam:Gossypium raimondii chromosome 1, whole genome shotgun sequence.